AACGAACGCUGGCGGCAUGCCUAACACAUGCAAGUCGAACGAGACCUUCGGGUCUAGUGGCGCACGGGUGCGUAACACGUGGGAAUUUGCCUCGGGGUAUGGAAUAACUCAGGGAAACUUGAGCUAAUACCAUAUAAUGUCUUCGGACCAAAGAUUUAUCGCCCUGAGAUAAGCCCGCGUAGGAUUAGCUAGUUGGUGGGGUAAAGGCUCACCAAGGCGACGAUCCUUAGCUGGUCUGAGAGGAUGAUCAGCCACACUGGGACUGAGACACGGCCCAGACUCCUACGGGAGGCAGCAGUGGGGAAUAUUGGACAAUGGGCGAAAGCCUGAUCCAGCAAUGCCGCGUGAGUGAUGAAGGGCCUUCGGGUUGUUAAAGGACUCUUUUAC
rnacentral:rRNA from 1 species